rnacentral:rRNA from 1 species
UUGAACGCUGGCGGCAGGCCUAACACAUGCAAGUCGAGCGGUUGAGAGUAGCUUGCUACUUGAUGCAGCGGCGGACGGGUGAGUAACGCGUGGGAAUCUGCCCAGUAGUGGGGGACAACAGCCGGAAACGGCUGCUAAUACCGCAUACGCCCUACGGGGGAAAGGGGGGGAUCUUCGGACCUCUCGCUAUUGGAUGAGCCCGCGUCGGAUUAGCUAGUUGGUAGGGUAAAGGCCUACCAAGGCUACGAUCCGUAACUGGUCUGAGAGGAUGAUCGGCCACACUGGAACUGGGACACGGUCCAGACUCCUACGGGAGGCAGCAGUGGGGAAUAUUGGACAAUGGGCGAAACCCUGAUCCAGCCAUGCCGCGUGUGUGAAGAAGGCCUUAGGGUUGUAAAGCACUGUCGGUGGGGAAAAAGGUUUGUCACCUAAUACGUGAUGAAAUUGAUGUUACCCACAGAAGAAGCACCGGCUAACUCCGUGCCAGCCGCCGCGGUAAAAC